rnacentral:rRNA from 1 species
AUUGAACGCUGGCGGCAGGCCUAACACAUGCAAGUCGAACGGUAAAAGGAAAAGCUUGCUUGUUUGGCGAUGGAGGGGGGGAGGGGUGGGAAAUGUCGGGAAACUGCCUGGAUGAAGGGGAUAACUUCCGGAAACCGGAGCUAAUACCGGAUAACCUCUGCAGGCCCAAGGAGGGGGACCUCGGGCCUCUUUUCCUUGGACUUGGCCAUGUUGGGAUUAGCUUGUUGGUGGGGUAACGGCUAACCAAGGCGACGAUCCGUAGCUGGUCUGAGAGGUUGACCAGCCACACUGGAACUGAGACACGGUCCAGACUCCUACGGGAGGCAGCAGUGGGGAAUAUUGCACAAUGGGCGCAAGCCUGAUGCAGCCAUGCCGCGUGUAUGAAGAAGGCCUUCGGAUUGUAAAGUACUUUCAGCGGGGAGGAAGGGAGUAAAGUGAAUACCUUUGCUCAUUGACGUUACCCGCAGAAGAAGCACCGGCUAACUCCGUG